rnacentral:tRNA from 1 species
AGGGACUUAGGAUAGUACAAGACCAAAAGCCUUCAAAGCUUUAAGCAGAAGUGAAAAUCUUCUAGCCCCUG